GGGUAAGUAGGUUGGUCGUGCCACCGGUACGUACUGGUCUCACUGAUUCCUCCUUCCUGAAGAACCGUAAUGCCAUUAAUUUGGUUUUGCGGGGAAACAGGACUGUUACUUUGAAAAAAUUAGAGUGUUUAAAGCAAGCUAACGCUCGAAUACAUUAGCAUGGAACAAUGAAAUAGGACGAUCGAUCCUAUUUUGUUGGUUUCUAGGAUUGACGUA
rnacentral:rRNA from 1 species